rnacentral:rRNA from 1 species
AGCUAAAAAUCUAGCCUUAUAUCUUUCUAAUGUAAAACUCCUUCCCCCCUUUUACCAAAUCAAAACAUUUUUUAAACCCAGUAAAGGAGAUUAAAAAGUUUCUCAGAGCUAUAAUAGUUGUACCGCAAGGGAUAGAUGAAAUAAAAAUGAAACAAAAUUAAAGCAACAAAAAGUAGAGCUUUACUCUCGUACCUUUUGCAUCAUGGUUCAACUAGUUUAACCAAGCAAAAUGAAUUAAAGUUUGACCCCCCGAAACUAAGUGAGCUACUUCAGGGCAGCUUAAUGAGCCAACCCGUCUCUGUUGCAAAAGAGUGGGAUGACCCUCAAGUAGAGGUGAUAGACCUAACGAACUUAGUGAUAGCUGGUUAUUCAGGAAAGGAAUAUUAGUUCAACUUAAAAUUACAAAAAUUAUUAUAAAUAAAAUUUCAAUUUUAAAGUAAUUCAAACAAGGUACAGCCUGUUUGAAUCAGGAUACAACCUAUACUAAUGGGUAAAUUAAUAAAAACUAUAAUUAAGUAGGCUUAAGAGCAGCCACCUUUUAAAUAGCGUCAAAGCUUAUUUAUAAUUUUUAUUUAAUAACAUUAUUUAUUAUUAACCCUUUACUUCUACUGAAUAUUUCUAUAAAACUAUAGAAUUUUUUCUGUUGAAACUAGUAACAAGAAGUUAAACUUCUCUUUAAUGUAAGCAUAACUCGGGUAGGAUAAACCACCGAAAAUUAACGCCUUGAACCUAAAAUAAUAACACUACAUGAAAACUUUAUUGUACUUGACGUUAACCUUACACCAGAACAUUUAAAGAAAGAUUUUAAAAAAAGGAAGGAACUCGGCAAACAUUAACCUCGCCUGUUUACCAAAAACAUCGCCUUCUGCUUUAUUAUAGAAGGUCCAGCCUGCCCAGUGAACUAAUUUAACGGCCGCGGUAUCCUAACCGUGCGAAGGUAGCGUAAUCACUUGUUCUUUAAAUGAGGACUAGUAUGAAUGGCAUCACGAGGGUUAUACUGUCUCCCUUUUUUAAUCAGUUAAACUAAUCUUCCCGUGAAGAAGCGGGAAUAAUUUUAUAAGACGAGAAGACCCUAUGGAGCUUUAAAUUAUGCAACAAAUGCUAUUCCUCUUUCAUUUUAAGAAUAACUUUAUAUUUAAGCACUAUGAUUGCUGAUUUUUGGUUGGGGUGACCGCGGAGUAAAAAACAACCUCCAUAAUGAAGUGGAAAUUUUUCCUGAAUCAAGAAUUACAAUUCUAAAUACCAACAAUUUGACAUUCUUUGAUCCAAUCUAUUGAUCAACGAACAAAGUUACCCUAGGGAUAACAGCGCAAUCCACUUCAAGAGCUCCUAUCGACAAGUGGGUUUACGACCUCGAUGUUGGAUCAGGAUGUCCUAGUGGUGUA